CUUAACUUCAAAAGUGCAGAAUUCAGGAAGUGGGGGCUGAUGGAAAGCAGCAAUUCUCUGAAUUUAAUGUGCAUAGUAAUCACUCAGGGAACUUGCUCUGAAGUGAGGCUUGAGAUGCUAUGUUUUUAACAAACACCAAAGCAAGGCAGUGCUACUGUCCUUUGACUACACUUUAUGGACUCAGAAGCCAAGGACAAUGAAGGUGAGGAAGAUGCGGAAGGAAGCACAUUUCCCACCCUAUUGAUACACACAAACUUCACAUUGCCAAACACACAAUGCCACUAGCUGAAUGUUUGUGUCCCCUCAAUUUUAUAUGCUGAAAUCUUAACCCUCCAUGUGAGGAUAACGAUACAGGAAAA
rnacentral:lncRNA from 1 species